rnacentral:rRNA from 1 species
UACGGAGGGAGCGAGCGUUGUUCGGAAUUACUGGGCGUAAAGGGUGCGCAGGCGGCCUUGUAAGUCAGAAGUGAAAGCCCUGGGCUUAACCCAGGAAUUGCUUUUGAAACUGCAAGGCUAGAGUAUUGGAGAGGUUGGCGGAAUUCCCAGUGUAGAGGUGAAAUUCGUAGAUAUUGGGAGGAACACCAGUGGCGUAAGCGGCCAACUAGACAAUUACUGACGCUCAGGCACGAAAGCGUGGGGAUCAAACAGG